rnacentral:rRNA from 1 species
ACGCUCGACACCUACGGGAGCAGCAGUGGGGAAGUAUUGCACAAUGGGGGAAACCCGUGAUGCAGCGACGCCGCGUGAGCGAAGAAGUAUUUCGGUAUGUAAAGCUCUAUCAGCAGGGAAGAAAGUGACGGUACCUGACUAAGAAGCACCGGCUAAAUACGUGCCGGCAGCCGCGGUAAUCUGAGCGGGCUGGCAAGGC